rnacentral:tRNA from 1 species
AUUUAUAUAGUUUAACAUAAAACAUUUCAUUUUCAAUGAAAAGAUAAAAGAUUUUUUUUAUAAAUU